AGUGGCAGUAUUACCACGUUGCAACGCGAUCGCAUCAGAUCUCAGAAAGUAAGCAGGGUUGGACCUGAUCAGUACAGGAACAGAAAAAAAUCAAAAGAAAACCUGGUUGCUGUUUCUA
rnacentral:rRNA from 1 species